rnacentral:rRNA from 1 species
UACGGGGGGAGCAAGCGUUGUUCGGAUUUACUGGGCGUAAAGGGCGCGUAGGCGGCGUGACAAGUCACUUGUGAAAUCUCCGGGCUUAACUCGGAGCGGUCAAGUGAUACUGUCGUGCUAGAGUGCGGAAGGGGCUACUGGAAUUCUCGGUGUAGCGGUGAAAUGCGUAGAUAUCGUAAGGAAGACCAGUGGCGAAGGCGGGUCUCUGGACAGUUCCUGACGCUGAGGCACGAAGGCCAGGGGAGCAAACGGG